rnacentral:rRNA from 1 species
UACGUAGGGGGCAAGCGUUGUCCGGAAUUAUUGGGCGUAAAGAGCUCGUAGGCGGUUUUGUCGCGUCUGCCGUGAAAGUCCGGGGCUCAACUCCGGAUCUGCGGUGGGUACGGGCAGACUAGAGUGAUGUAGGGGAGACUGGAAUUCCUGGUGUAGCGGUGAAAUGCGCAGGAUAUCAGGAGGAACACCGAUGGCGAAGGCAGGUCUCUGGGCGAUUAACUGACGCUGGAGGAGCGAAAGCAUGGGGAGCGAACAGGA